rnacentral:rRNA from 1 species
UACAGAGGGGGCAAGCGUUGUUCGGAAUUACUGGGCGUAAAGGGCGCGUAGGCGGCCUUCUAAGUCGAACGUGAAAUCCCCGGGCUCAACCCGGGAACUGCGUCCGAUACUGGAAGGCUUGAAUCCGGAAGAGGAGAGUGGAAUUCCUGGUGUAGCGGUGAAAUGCGCAGAUAUCAGGAAGAACACCUAUGGCGAAGGCAGCUCUCUGGGACGGUACUGACGCUGAGACGCGAAAGCGUGGGGAGCGAACAGG